rnacentral:rRNA from 1 species
UCCUACGGGGGGCUGCAGUGGGGAAUCUUGCACAAUGGGGGCAACCCUGAUGCAGCGACGCCGCGUGAGUGAUGAAGCCCUUCGGGGUGUAAAGCUCUUUCGACAGGAACGAUUAUGACGGUACCUGGAGAAGAAGCUGCGGCUAACUACGUGCCAGCAGCCGCGGUAAUACGUAGGCAGCAAACGUUGUUCGGAAUUACUGGGCGUAAAGAGUGUGUAGGCGGUUUUGUAAGUUUGGUGUGAAAUCUCCCGGCUUAACUGGGAGGGUGCGCCGAAAACUGCAAGGCUUGAGUGCUGGAGAGGAGAGCGGAAUUCCUGGUGUAGCGGUGAAAUGCGUAGAUAUCAGGAGGAACACCGGCGGUGUAGACGGCUCUCUGGACAGUAACUGACGCUGAGACACGAAAGCGUGGGGAGCAAACAGGAUUAGAUACCCCAGUAGUCCA